UACGUAGGCAGCAAGCGUUGUUCGGAGUUACUGGGCGUAAAGGGUGUGUAGGCGGUCCUCUAAGUUUGGUGUGAAAUCUCCCCGGCUCAACUGGGAGGGUGCGCCGAAAACUGGGGGGCUAGAGUGCGGGAUGGGAAAGUGGAAUUCCUGGUGUAGCGGUGAAAUGCGUAGAUAUCAGGAGGAACACCUGUGGUGUAGACGGCUUUCUGGACCGCAACUGACGCUGAGACACGAAAGCGUGGGUAGCAAACAGG
rnacentral:rRNA from 1 species